UACGAAGGGGGCUAGCGUUGCUCGGAAUCACUGGGCGUAAAGGGUGCGUAGGCGGGUCUUUAAGUCAGGGGUGAAAUCCUGGAGCUCAACUCCAGAACUGCCUUUGAUACUGAAGAUCUUGAGUUCGGGAGAGGUGAGUGGAACUGCGAGUGUAGAGGUGAAAUUCGUAGAUAUUCGCAAGAACACCAGUGGCGAAGGCGGCUCACUGGACCACAACUGACGCUGAGGCGCGAAAGCUAGGGGAGCAAACGGGG
rnacentral:rRNA from 1 species